AUGAAUGAGGAAAGAGACCAAAUGAGUCUUAGAAGCAAGGAUUUAUUCACACAUUCUCAGAAACACAAAAAACUACAAGUCCGGAAGACUAGAACCGGAAAUAACGCUAAUAGAGCGCGACAUGAAAAACUACCGUUAAGAGAGUUCCCCUGCCAGACUAACUGGUAACAAAUAAUCUACGCUGAAAGCUAACAGCGAAUACAACAACUCAAACUCCAUAAAAAUCCAAAGGCUAAUUAAGCAAACUAAGGUAUUACCAUACUCUGGCAUAAGAACAAUGACCUACAGCAACACAAACUCACUAAUCUGGAAGGCUCGUGCCAAGGAACAGCGUGAAUGCACAGGGAAAGGGAGGAGAGGGCUGGUGUGCAGCUGGUUAGGGGAGUUUGACACAGAGAGGGGCUCUGGGUGGCAGACAGGUGCACUGGAGGCUGCGGCCACAGGCACGUCGUGAUGUGGCGUCUGAAGAUGGAGGAGACUGACCAGCCUCACCUUGACAACUGGAGAGUACACUAAUGCCACGCUGACUAUUACGCCACCUGACAGCACACAGUCAGGCAUCGAUGCCACUCUGACUAUUGAAGCCAAGUCAACCGAAGGUGCUGACUCCAAUUAUGCCGUUCUGAGACUGUCUGUUGUCACCAAGAUUACAGAUUUUACUCCACCAUUGUGUAACUUAGUUACAGUGCUGCCUGAUGACUGCCCUGCUGAUCUGUCCCAGUGCAAACCUUUCCAUUGGCAGCUCUCAGCUAAUCUCACAGAUGGAAAUGGAACCGGGAUUGAGAGCAUUACCCUGCGUCAGGGUGAAGGAACCUUAUCAUACACCCCACUGAGCGCUCCUAUCAUCCAGGCAGACUACAACUCUUCCUGCUGCUCGCAGGUUGUUGAGUUCGUAGCUGUCGAUAAAGUUGGCAACGUGGGCAGGUGCUAUUAUGAAAUUGAUCAUUCAGCUGGUCCUCCUGCUCUGACGUUGUCGCUGCCGCUGUGGCUGUGCCUGCUGGUAUCUGUCUUCAUAGUGAGGCCUUAAAGAGCUUUUGGUUGGAUUGUUCUGUAUCUUAUGUCUGUGCUCUGCAACUACCAGGGCCAGAGUGAGACUCAUUUUCAGCCCUGGAGUUUCAUUAGACCGGCCCACUUUAGGUCACGAUCUAUUAUUAUUAAAAUCAUGUAAUUAUAACCUUACACGUUAAGUCUACAAUAGCACACUGUUCUGUAAAGCCUUGUAUUUUUCUAAAAUAUUUCCAAUUCAGUGCAAGUAAGGGCUGCUUCACAAUAUGGAUUUGUGUCAACGGUAAAUGGUCUGUAUUUAUAUAGCCCAAAGCGCUUUAUAUUAUACAUCACAUUCACCCAUUCACGGCAGAAGCUGCCAUGCUAUGCGCUGACCACGACCCAUGAGGAGCAGUUAGGGGUUCAGUGUCUUGCUCAGGAACACCUCAACAUGAGCCCUCUAGGCCAGGGAUCGAACCGGUAACCCUCUGGUUACAAGACGGCCACGCUACCCACUGAGCCAUGCCGCCUCAUCUCCAAUAUUACUCUUCACAACAAUAUCAGAAUCUAUAUUUUGUUCAAACAAGUGUUCACAGAUAUCUAAACCUUGAAAAUGAAAUACAAGAAUAAAUAAAAAAAUAUGUAUAAAAUAAAAAGUGUUGCACGUUCUAAUAACACUAUUAUCUCUAUUUCCUCUGCAAGGUAACAGAUCCAUCACUGAUUUCACAAAUAUGAGAAUAUGAGUUAAAGGUCAAAUCUCCAACACUAUUCUUUACAACAUCAGAAUGUAUGUAUGUACAUCCUGUGACUUAGGGUGAGCAAAGUAAUCAAAACUAUCAACCGACUCAUCUUCAUCUGUCUCCUUCCUAACUUGUGGUUCAGGUUUCUGCUGCUGAGCUGCUGCCUCUGUAAUCAGUCCCUGAAGAGACUCUGCUCUCCCUCUUAUACUUCCUCUAGUUUCCCUAGACUCGCCUGCACCCCUAUCACAAUUUAAAAAAAAAAAAAAAAAAUCUCUACACACAUUUUGACCUAACCAAUUAAGAUAUUUUCAAUGGCAAAAUAUGCAGGCUUAUUUUAUAUUACUUUCUUUCUAUUCCCUUUCAGUUGUGGGCUUUGUGUAUUUUCUAUCUUACUUUUAAUGAUUAAAAAACAAAAUGGGUCACUGCUAUCGUUUGGACGUAGAAAGUGGUUAUACUGGAACUAAUGGUUGCUAGUUCACUCUGUUACAACAGCAAUCCCCUCAUCACUGCUGGCUCCUGGCUCUGCUCCUGACACUAAAUCACUUUUAAAAAUGCUCAUAAUUCUCAGCACAAAUCUCCUCUUUUUACAAAGCCUUCUGAUCAGUUCAGAUCAGUUUCAUUAAUAGAUAAUAGAUGCUUUAUUUGUCAUUGCACACUUUCAUAUACAACGAAAUUUCAUUUGAGCUGCCCUGCCAAUGACAGCUCCGGCUGCUGCGCGGCACCUUUCUUGAGGAAAAAAAAGAAAAAGACAUGUUGGGAUCUGGGUAGGGAUAGUAGAGGGUAAAAGAAAAAAACAGCUCGUUGUACCAAAUGAAACCUCCAAUGUUGGGAAAUUCAAUUUGAGAAGGAACCUAAAAAAAAACAAACCCGCAAACAGGCAAAGCAUGACAUAAGACAAGGAUAGUUGGGAUAAGGAUGUGGGGAGGUGGAGGGAGGAGCACUGCACAGUUAGCCGGUUCCUGUGCAGGUGCACGGAUUCCUGGCUCCUGUGUAUGGUGAGGAAAGCUUGUGGAGGUGGGAGGGAGGGGGAUAUGGACAUGUGUGUGUGAAUGUUUAGCUCAGUCCUCAG
ensembl:lncRNA